UUUAGUACUGAUGGAGUGUACCUAAUGUUAUCGUCGAUGUUUACAUGACCAACCGGUUAAAUUAGCCACUAAAGCAAUUCCAAAUUUUACUCUAUUUAGACAAUAUGUUUAUAAAACUUAGUUGCUUUUAAGCGCGCCAAACGAUUACUGUGCGACCCGCCGGUUGCCUGUUUACUGCUAAGCUAAGCUAACUAUGCUAGCUAUGUCCUACAUUUAGCUUACCGGGUGACUUGCUAACCAUUCAAUAGUGGUUUUAUUAAAGAUACGGAGCUAGUAUUGUAAUAACGUUGUUAUUCCAUUCUGACAAUCGUAGGUUAAGUGGGCGUUAGAAUGUAAGCUACCGUUAGCGGGGAGGUUAGCAUGACAAUAAUGCAGAAAAAGGCAGCAGCUCGAACAGGCUUAGCGGCCCUGUUGUAGCCGCCAAUCUUGACGUCUUCGAGCUUUUUUUUUCCCUGCUGCAAUAAAACGUCAACACAAUGGAAGCAACGCAGCUUUCACAACACGGCUGCUGUCAACAUGCAGACAACUGCAUCUUUCCAGUCCAAAACGCUGCCGGGUUCCAUGAUGCGGCUGCGCCAGGGCUGAAAUAGAUGGAGAUUGCGCGGUAGGGUCCUUACCUCAGAGCGGCUGCGCUGCUUCGGGCCUGCGCGGAGCUGACAACAAUGGAGGACAACACAGGCUGGAGGUCGUGUCCAAACAACAAGUCUUUUUUAUUUCCGAGCCGUUUACUAAAACGGUAAAUGGGUGUGAGGAGACAUACUUGGCCACUGCAUCGUCUUCCUUGGCGAGGCACUUGAUCAUCUUGGAGUCGCAGCACCUGGACUCAUCUGUUUCCCCGGCAUUAUGCAAAUAUCUACAUUGAACAUCUCCAGGGAGGGCGAGAGCCGGCAAACAUGGCAAUUAAGCGGCGGACGCUGUGCAACAUACAUCAUCUUGUCACGCACAAGUGGACGUCAUAACGCCAAAUAGCGCCUGGACUCAUCUGCAGCACAGAGACCCCUAGCGACUCCGAGGUCCUGGAGGUGCCUGGAUGCGCAACCCGCAGAUGUGUCAAGAUAAGAACUCAUAAAACAAUAAAGACCCAGUAUCUUCCUGAGAAGGCGGUGCCACGAGGCGCACCUGCAGCCAUAUUACCAUUUGGGGUAUUUAGCCACCCGACGACAGGAGAGGAGGACGUGGGAUCGUACUACUUUGCCUGAAUGCUGCCACGCUGUUCUUUUUAGUUCCUGUUCCUGCUUCCACUCCCAAGAUUUGCCCAUCCUUCUGAUGCCCCAUGACAUAGCCUCGGUCAAGUGGACAUUUGCUUUUUUACCUGCAAGGACCCCCGACCCAUGAGGAUGGUGGAGGUUUCCACUAUAUUCUGCAGCAGGAAAGUGCAGUUGAAGCAAGCUGAAAAACAACACAAAUACGAAAAGCGAACCCCUUACCAUUUUUCUGAAAAUCAAAAAUUUUUUUUGCAUUUUUUGG